UUUUCUAAUCUCGUUUAUGUAUGUGCUUUAUUUCACUUAUUUUCUUUUAUUUAUAUUUGCCCUAGUCAGCCUUGCUCAAACUCUCGACAUCGCUCUCUUUCUCUCGCUCGCCCAAACACCGGGUUUAGAUCGAUACAUUCAUCUGGCCUUCGCGAUUUCUAUUCUUCAAUUUAUGUUCUUUGCGAUUUCUUCUUAUGAUCGAUGCCUUCAAUAUCAUUUGGAAUUCUGUUCUUCGCGAUUUCUUCAAAGUUGUUGCUGUGGAUUGCAAUUGAAUUCCUUUAGAUUGUGUUUUAUUGAGAGAUUCUCUGAGAGCAGUGGAUUUGGGCCAAGGUUUUCCCCUUCUCUCUUUCAUUCUUCUUCUGAUUCGGGGUAAUGAUUACAGGGUAAUGAUUAUUCCACAUGAGAAAUGCAUGGCAAAUGGAAGUAUGGUUCACCAUUACAGGAUUUGUGGAGCUCUUGUUGCAACUUUCUUUGCAUGCUUUGCGGGAGGUUCAUAGACGAACAUUUCCAGUUGAUGUAGCUUCUAACCCACUGCUGACUUCAUUGGCAGAUGUAUCUUUUUCGCAUGCAGCUACACUAUU